AUACGGAGGGGGCUAGCGUUGUUCGGAAUUACUGGGCGUAAAGCGCGUGUAGGCGGAUCGUUAAGUCAGGGGUGAAAGCCCGGGGCUCAACCCCGGAACUGCCCUUGAUACUGGCGAUCUAGAGUCCGGAAGAGGUGGGCGGAAUUCCCGGUGUAGAGGUGAAAUUCGUAGAUAUCGGGAGGAACACCAGUGGCGAAGGCGGCUCACUGGUCCGGCACUGACGCUGAGACGCGAAAGCGUGGGGAGCAAACAGGAUUAGAAACCCUAGAGUCC
rnacentral:rRNA from 1 species